GAUGAACGCUGGCGGCAUGCCUAACACAUGCAAGUCGAUCGGUAAGGCUCUUCGGAGUACACGAGAGGCGGACGGCUGAGUAACGCGUAGGAACACACCCUGCAGUGAGGGAUAAGACACCGAAAGGUGUUCUAAUACCGCAUACGGUCUUCGGAUUAAAGCAUUUAUGCGCUGAAGGAGUGGCCUGCGUCAUAUUAGAUAGUUGGUGAGGUAAUGGCUCACCAAGUCGAUGAUGUGUAGCUGGUCUGAGAGGAUGAUCAGCCAGACUGGAACUGAGACACGGUCCAGACUCCUACGGGAGGCAGAAGUGAGGAAUAUUUCACAAUGAGCGAAAGCUUGAUGGAGCAAUGCAGCGUGCAGGAUGAAGGCCCUCGGGUUGUAAACUGAUUUUAUAAGAGAAGAUUAUGACGGUAACUUAUGAAUAAGGGACGGCUAACUACGUG
rnacentral:rRNA from 1 species